AAUAGAUACCCCGGUAGUCCACGCCGUAAACGAUGAAUACUAGGUGUGGGGGUUGUCAUGACCUCCGUGCCGCCGCUAACGCAUUAAGUAUUCCGCCUGGGGAGUACGGUCGCAAGAUUAAAACUCAAAGGAAUUGACGGGGGCCCGCACAAGCAGCGGAGCAUGUGGUUUAAUUCGAAGCAACGCGAAGAACCUUACCUAGACUUGACAUCUCCUGAAUUACUCUGUAAUGGAGGAAGCCCUUCGGGGCAGGAAGACAGGUGGUGCAUGGUUGUCGUCAGCUCGUGUCGUGAGAUGUUGGGUUAAGUCCCGCAACGAGCGCAACCCUUAUUGUUAGUUGCUACCAUUUAGUUGAGCACUCUAGCGAGACUGCCCGGGUUAACCGGGAGGAAGGUGGGGAUGACGUCAAAUCAUCAUGCCCCUUAUGUCUAGGGCUACACACGUGCUACAAUGGCUGGUACAGAGAGAUGCAAUACCCGGCGAGGUGGAGCCAAACUUCAAAACCAGUCUCAGUUCGGAUUGUAGGCUGAAACUCGCCUA
rnacentral:rRNA from 1 species